GGGGGUGAAAGGUUUCGACAGAAUGCUGAUUUUGAGAACAGCGUGCAGAGCUGUGGAAUCUCUUAAAACUUCUACAAAAGAAUAAGUGCAAACUCAUUCAACAAACAACCGGCCUUAGCAUUUGCAUAAGACCCAUCGACGCUCUCGACGCCUGAUAGAGUGAUCGUCGGUGUUAAAUUAUCAGGCUCUGUUCCCUACUCCUGCGGAGGGAAUGAAAAUUGAGCGGGAAAGUGCUAUAUACUUGGCUGUCUGACACUUGGUAUGCAACACUUAAAAAAUAUGUCAGACUACGCCCGUAGAAGUUCUCCGAGUUAAAUUCUGGACGGGAGUUCAAUCUCCCCACUUCCACAA
rnacentral:tmRNA from 1 species